rnacentral:lncRNA from 1 species
AGUUUCUCAUGGUCACGUGCUUCUAUUUAGUUCACUCAGAACCUCAUGUUUUUAUUAUUUUACCUCCACUCUGCCCUGAUUGAUAAUAGAAACCCUCAAUACCAUACCGCCAAACUCUUACUCUCAUGCAGAUAGACCAGGGAUUCUUUCUGUGGCUUUGCCUUGUAACACUUAACACUUCUUGUCCCAGGGCCAUUUCUGAACAGUAGAGGUUACACUUACUCCACUGAACAGCUCGUUCCAAAUCCUGUCAUCAAAUCCUAUAUGUUCCUGUUCCAAAUGCAAAUGGAUCCGUCCCUGGUUAAGCCCAGAGACAAGCCCUGGCCAGCACCUUGUUUGCAGGCUUGUGACCCUAAGCAUAGAAUCCAGCUAAUCUGCGCCUGACUCUUCACCCACAGAAAUUGUGAGAUGACAAAUGUGUGUUGUUUUAAGCUACUAAGUUUGUGUUAAUUUGUUACACAAUAGAAAAUUGAUACUCAUUUC